rnacentral:lncRNA from 10 species
GCUGUCACGUUUGGCUGGGGGGCAGCGGCGGGAGGUAAAUUUCUCUCCGUCUUCGCCUAUCAGUGCCGGGUCUGCGCAGCCACAGGUUCCGGACGUCUUGGCCCCGGGAAUAAAUAAAGACAUAAACCAACCCGGCUUUCUCCGGAGGAAUGAGGCGCAGUGGUGGAUGCUCGCAAACUUUUGCGCACCGCUGGAAACCCACUAGGUUGAGUUGCAAAACGUACCGCGUAGACGCCCCUGGUGGCGCCGAGAGAAGAGCUAGGCCUGCCCAGCACAGAGCCGGAGAGCGUCGGGCCUUCCGGAAGGGUCGACGAGAUGAGUUCCUACUUGACCUCUGAGCCGAGGUGGGCCGGAAACCGAGGCCUAGGCCCCGCCGGGGCUGCAAGGAAAAGGGGAAACUCCGAGCGUAGCGUCUUUUCCUUGUGGUUCCUUUCUCCGGCAUCCCGGACUGCGGGCCCUGCAGCCACCUGGACCGGCAUUCAAAGGAUUCUGCAAGUCCAGCUUCACAGACUGGCUUUCCCAGACGCUCCGAAGCCCGCACCACGAACAGAAUAAAGGAGAGACGAGAGAUCGCAACUAGAUUUGAGAAUCCUCGUUCUUUUCCCCAAUCGUUCGGGCAGUAAACUCCGGAGCCGGCUACAGCGCGCAUCCUCCCUUCCUCCUUUCGGAGAACUGUCGCUUUCCCGAAGCUGCUCCCAGCUGGGUUUUCUCCCGAAGUUUAUUUUUCUCAUUUUGCAAAAUUCCUGCCCUGAUUUUAAUACUGCAACAGGACAGCAGAGGUUCCUCUUUAAAAAGUCAAAACCCAAACCAAAGGGGCCCAUUGCUGUUGAUAAUUUUUUUCUUCACCUUCUCCUUCCGUUUUUAAGAAAGACACUUCCAAAACUACCCAUUGUUUUCCUCUCAAAAGAGAACUCGCUUUAAAAUGCAUCCCUUUCUAUUUCUCUCCGGAUAUGUCCCCACCUGACCCGGUGGCAACUUGUGGGGCGUGGGGGUAGUGAAAAAUAGAAGUGUGGACGGGGCUGGGAAAAUGAAUAAGAAUUAUAACAAUAGAAAUGAUGACAAAACUAAA